GCCUGGAUAGCUCAGUUGGUUAGAGUGUGGUGCUGCUAACACCUAGGUUGCAUGUUUGAUCCCCGCAUGGGACA